AAGGCGCGGAACUACUCAGUGGUGAAGGCUGUGCGGACACUGGGGGCCCGCCAGGGGUUUGGCCCCUUACUCAACCCAACCACGGUCCUCUCCGGCGCAGGCCGAUUUGAGGACCUAGACUCCUUGAUGCUGACGGCCUGAGGGGGCUCCCGGGUGCCGGAUAUCUGACACAGGCCAGGGAGGCUCCCCUGGGAGACCUGGCAGGCCUGGAGGUGUGAGUCGGCUCUGAGCAGCUGCUCUGGGAGAGCCAGUCCACGGAGCCAAAGCUGGAGGGCAGCUGCCGGCCACAAGUUGGGGAGGAGGAGAGACGCAAGGCCGUCAGAUGCUUGUCCUGGAAACCAACCAUGAGCUGUGAUGAAAUCCAGGCAACUGAGUUGUGUUUCAGCCCAAAGCAGCAAAUGGAAUCCAGCUUCAGGACCAUCAUCUGACAUAGGGGAAGAAGACUUACAUAGAAGGCCUAACCAGCACCCAAGAUCAUGCUCAUAGGUGGAGGAGACUUGCUUUGUCUCAGAUGAGACUUUGGACUGUGGACUUUUGAGUUAAUGCUGAAAUGAGUUGAGACUUUGGGGAACUGUUGGGAAGGCAUGAUUGGUUUUAAAUAUGAAUAUAUGAGAUUUGGGAGGGGGUCAGGGGUGGAAUGAUAUGGUUUGGCUCUGUGUCCCCACCCAAAUCUCAUCUUGUAGCUCCCAUAAUCCUCCCAUGUUGUGGGAGGGACCCAGUGGGAGAUGAUUGAAUCAUGAGGGCGGGUCUUUCUCAUGCUGUUCAUGAUCCCAUUCAUGUGAGAAAGACCCAUGUGAUCAUGAAUGGGUCUCACAAGAUCUGAUGGUGUUAAAAAUGGGAGUUUCUCUGCACAAGCUCUCUGCCUGCUGCCAUUCACAAAGGAUGUGACUUGCUUCUCCUUGCCUUCUGCUAUGAUUGUGAGGCCUCCCUAGCCAUGUGGAACUGUGAGUCCAAUUAAACCUCUUUCUUUUGUAAAUUGA
rnacentral:lncRNA from 10 species